UUUUUUUGUUCAAAAUUCGCGACCUUUUUAUUCAGACCUAAUUAGGACUUUUUAUGCAAAUGCCACUUUUAAUUCCGAAUUUACUACUAUUACUUUCCACUACCGGGAAUGUGUUUUUGCAAUUUCUCCUAUCCUUCUUCACACUGUUUUAAACUUCACACUGUUUUAAACAUUCCAAAUGACGGCGUUUGCUACUACCAAACCAACACUUGUAACUUUCUU
rnacentral:lncRNA from 1 species